CUCCCAAGUGUAAUGGAUUCAUAUCACAGUGAGCAGAUUGCCAACGUGGAGAUGAAAGCCAGCGUGUGGUUUGUCUGCGCGCACCGCAUGGAUGCGGCUUACGGCUUUCUGCGUUAAGGAUGAACCUGAAAUCUUUUUGAUCAAAUUUGGAAUCGUUCAGGGCGGCCCGGUGCUCCAGCGGUUGGCGCGUCGACCUCGCAGUGCAGAGGUACCGGGUGCGUAUGUUUUCUCCAGAUACUCCGGUUUCCACUCACAUUCCAAAAACAUGUGUGACAGGCUGAUUGAACACUCUAAAUU